AUGUAGAUGCUCCAGUAUCGCUUUGGGAGGAGGUUGAGGAUCUCCGUUUGGUCUAUCUCAACACUCCAAGCAAAGGAAAACAGGUGAUCGAUAUUGUCUCCUAGGAUGACGAGAUCACUGAUGAUGUUGUUGAGCCCCUUACACAUGAGGACCGGAAGCAGCGGGUCUCGAAAGAAAAUGUAGUCGAUAUAGCUUCAUUUGCGGAUUCUCCAGCUAUGACUCCAGCAUUAUAGAAGUAUUUUCGUACAGUUCGCGGUAGGAUUGUCAAGAAGGGACCCCUCAUUCGUAGCCCAUACACGAAUCCCUUGAAACCAUAGAGCCAACGGACGAGACCGCCUGUGUAGUUAUCGAGCACAGAGCGUGAGGAAAUAUUCAAGAAGUGGUAUGCAGAACUGAACUUGUUCGAGAAACGUCAUGUAUAUGACAUAGUUGAGAGGACCAAAAUUACAUUUUGCGGUACACUCAUGGACACAUCUGGAU